GAUUCAUCUUGAUAUGCUGUUCAUCUUUAGGCCCCUAGAAGAUGGAUUUUUCAGCUUAUGCAAAAGGGUAGGGUUUUCUCUUUUGCUUUCCAGUUGGAGUGAGAGUGGGAGUAUUUCAUUUAAAAAGUCUAGAGACAGAGAUUUUUGGCAUAAUUCUAUGUAUGAAAAGUGUAACUAAUUGGCAAGGGAAAGGCCUGUCUUAUAGAUGCUCUUCUAUGAAGGUAAAGCCAGGAUCCUGGGAAGGAGUGGGAUGGAGAGAAGUGAUCAAGAGAACUGGACUGAGAGUGGAAAGCACAGAUGAAAAACCAGAGCCUCGGUAAACUGCUAGGUGAUUAUCUGAAGCGGGUUCUCAAUUAAUGGUGCCAGCCUCAGUGGUCUCCAGAGCUGCCAGCCUCCCAUUCAGUGACCUAGGUGGCCACAGACAUCUGACUAUCAUUGUGAAGUUUCAGAAAGUCUGAAUAAACAUCAACAUUUUCAUAAAGAAGCCGAGAAAUUCCAGAUGCAGCAAGCCAGUGAGAGAAAUGCUGUGGAAAGGAAGUGGUAACAGGCACUCCCACAUCUCUUGGACAGACAUUCACAUUUUCUACUCAGGGCAUCUACUUACCCCCAAAUGUA
rnacentral:lncRNA from 1 species